rnacentral:siRNA from 1 species
UCCUUGACAGGAGCGUGCG